rnacentral:tRNA from 1 species
GGGCUUGUAGCUCAGUAGGUAGAGCAGCGCCCUUUUAAGGCGAAGGUCCCGGGUUCGAACCCCGGCAUUCCCACCA